AUUGUUUGGAGAGUUUGAUCCUGGCUCAGGACGAACGCUGGCGGCGUGCUUAACACAUGCAAGUCGAGCGGAAAGGCCCUUCGGGGUACUCGAGCGGCGAACGGGUGAGUAACACGUGAGCAACCUGCCCCUGACUCUGGGAUAAGCCCGGGAAACUGGGUCUAAUACCGGAUAUGACCGCCUCCGGCAUCGGAUGGUGGUGGAAAGUUUUUCGGU
rnacentral:rRNA from 1 species